UUGCUCUUCUGAUCUAGAACAUAUGCCCUCCCCAAGACUUCAAGGAAGAAGCAACAGCCCCACUAUCAGCACCCAAAGCUGAAAUUCUUUCUUAAACUAUUCCUUGCCAAUACCAGAAACCAACACCACAACUUUCAUAAUUCAUAUAUUGCAUAUACCCAUACUGUGCUUGCCCAGUAUGUCUUCAUUUUCCACAAAAAAACAAGUGAAAAUCCCCUAUUACCAUGACACAAAACAUGUAAUGUGAAAUCAGCCUAUCAAUUAUUAACCCAUAUGUCCCAUAAGUAGUACUAUACACCCCAAUAUUACAUAAGACAUACUAUGUAUAUCGUGCAUUAACUGCUAGUCCCCAUGAAUAUUAAGCACGUACAGUAGUUUAUAUAUAUUACAUAAGACAUACUAUGUAUAU